rnacentral:rRNA from 1 species
AGUGAACGCUGGCGGCGUGCCUACUACAUGCAAGUCGAACGAAGUGGCGCACGGGUUAGUAAUAUAUAGUUAAUCUGCCCUACACAGAGGAACAACAGUUGGAAACGACUGCUAAUACCUCAUAGUGUAGGAUGAGACUAUAUCGUAUCAGCUCGUUGGUAAGGUAAUGGCUUACCAAGGCUAUGACGCGUAACUGGUCUGAGAGGAUGAGCAGUCACAUUGGAACUGAGACACGGUCAAAGCUCAGACGGGAGGCAGCAGUGGGGAAGAUUGCACAAUGGAGGGAACUGUGAUGAAGCGAAGCGGCGUGAACGAAGAAGGCUUUCGAGUAGUAAAGUUCUUUUAUAUGGGAAGCGGUACCAUAAGAAAAAGCCCCGGCUAACUACGUGCCAGCAGCCGCGGUAAGAC